CUGAUGCAGCCAUGCCGCGUGUGUGAAGAAGGCCUUCGGGUUGUAAAGCACUUUCAGUUGUGAGGAAAAGUUAGUAGUUAAUACCUGCUAGCCGUGACGUUAACAACAGAAGAAGCACCGGCUAACUCCGUGCCAGCAGCCGCGGUAAUACGGAGGGUGCGAGCGUUAAUCGGAAUUACUGGGCGUAAAGCGCACGCAGGCGGUUUGUUAAGCUAGAUGUGAAAGCCCCGGGCUCAACCUGGGAUGGUCAUUUAGAACUGGCAGACUAGAGUCUUGGAGAGGGGAGUGGAAUUCCAGGUGUAGCGGUGAAAUGCGUAGAUAUCUGGAGGAACAUCAGUGGCGAAGGCGACUCCCUGGCCAAAGACUGACGCUCAUGUGCGAAAGUGUGGGUAGCGAACAGGAUUAGAUACCCUGGUAGUCCACACCGUAAACGCUGUCUACUAGCUGUGUGUGCCUUUAAGGCGUGCGUAGCGAAGCUAACGCGCUAAGUAGACCGCCUGGGGAGUACGGCCGCAAGGUUAAAACUCAAAUGA
rnacentral:rRNA from 1 species